GAUGAACGCUAGCGACAGGCUUAACACAUGCAAGUCGAGGGGCAGCACAGGGUAGCAAUACUUGGGUGGCGACCGGCGCACGGGUGAGUAACGCGUAUGCAACCUGCCGUCUACUCUUGGACAGCCUUCUGAAAGGAAGAUUAAUACAAGAUGGCAUCAUGAGUCCGCAUGUUCACAUGAUUAAAGGUAUUCCGGUAGACGAUGGGGAUGCGUUCCAUUAGAUAGUAGGCGGGGUAACGGCCCACCUAGUCUUCGAUGGAUAGGGGUUCUGAGAGGAAGGUCCCCCACAUUGGAACUGAGACACGGUCCAAACUCCUACGGGAGGCAGCAGUGAGGAAUAUUGGUCAAUGGGCGAGAGCCUGAACCAGCCAAGUAGCGUGAAGGAUGAAGGUCCUACGGAUUGUAAACUUCUUUUAUAAGGGAUAAACCUCCACGUGUGGGAGCUUGUAUGUACCUUAUGAAU
rnacentral:rRNA from 1 species